GACGAACGCUGGCGGCGUGCCUAAUACAUGCAAGUUGAGCGCUGAAGGUUGGUACUUGUACCAACUGGAUGAGCAGCGAACGGGUGAGUAACGCGUGGGGAAUCUGCCUUUGAGCGGGGGACAAAAUUUGGAAACGAAUGCUAAUACCGCAUAAAAACUUUAAACACAAGUUUUAAGUUUGAAAGAUGCAAUUGCAUCACUCAAAGAUGAUCCCGCGUUGUAUUAGCUAGUUGGUGAGGUAAAGGCUCACCAAGGCGAUGAUACAUAGCCGACCUGAGAGGGUGAUCGGCCACAUUGGGACUGAGACACGGCCCAAACUCCUACGGGAGGCAGCAGUAGGGAAUCUUCGGAAAUGGACGAAAGUCUGACCGAGCAACGCCGCGUGAGUGAAGAAGGUUUUCGGAUCGUAAAACUCUGUUGGUAGAGAAGAACGUUGGUGAGAGUGGAAAGCUCAUCAAGUGACGGUAACUACCCAGAAAGGGACGGCUAACUACGUG
rnacentral:rRNA from 1 species